GGGGCGUGCUGGUUCAGCUCGGAUCAAGCCUCGCGCACGUCUUCCAAACUGAUCACGCGGGUUCGAUUCCCGUCAUCCCCUCCA
rnacentral:tRNA from 1 species